rnacentral:lncRNA from 1 species
UGGGCUUCUGUGGCUCGCCAUGGACUCCGGCAUGUACGGACGCUUGCGCAUGCAUCGGGAAGACAGGAACGGUUCCUCUUCUUCCCCUAGAUUAAUUUCCCACAGCCGUCUUGGAGUGCUCUUCUUUCUUCGCUGCCGUGGUUCGGUGGUUGCCUUGCCUGAAAGAACAAGAGCACAGCUCCACGGGAUAAUAAGGCUGUAAGGCUGACUUCUUCCUUCUGGAUGUUUUCUCAUCGCAGGGUCCUGAUCGAUCUGGUUGAUUCGGGCCGACCAAGCAAGGAGUACGUGUACGUGUACGUGCGCGUCUAGUCUGCUGUCGGUGUCAGGUCGCCAGCUGGAUCAAGGAGGUAAGCCCUUUUCUUUUCUUGGAUGCUCCAUGGUCGUCCCCAUGACGCAAAUUAAACUACUAGGAUAAUUUGCUUUACGGGCAUGUGUUCAUUUUGUAUGUUGACCAAAGCUUCAUUGUUUUUCAUAAUUAGUGCUGGUGAUGUAAUGUGCUAAUCUCACGUUGAACUAGAUUGAUAUUUUCUAGUCUCAAAGUUUGUUAGUUGUUGUUAGUUUUUCGUAAUUGGUGCUGGUGAUGUAAUGUGCUAAUCUCACGUUGAACUAGAUUGAUGUUUUCUAGUCUCAAAGUUUGUUAGUUUUCGUAAUUAGUGCUGGUGAUGUAAUGUGCUAAUCUCACGUUGAACUAGAUUGAUGUUUUCUAGUCUCAAAGUUUGUUUAGUCGUUGUUAGUUUUCGUAAUUAGUGCUGGUGAUACAUCUUCAUCUCUACGCUUAUGCAUUCGCCUUUUAUCUUUAGCAUUUAAUUUUAGAACAUUCUUGUAUUAUUUUCUGCCUGGACGAAUGAUGCACGUUAAGUACACAUUAUGAUAUGAAGCAAAGAUAAAUCUCAGAGGGCAUAAUUCCAUAUUAAUUGCGAGAUAAUGACAUACCGCUAGCACAUGACCGCCUCUCGUAGUUAGUAGUAAAUCUCAUUCUAUUAGGCAGCAUAGAUAGAUCGCGCUCAUCUUCGCGCUUAGCCAAGCUUUAUUUCCUUAGCGUAGCAAAUGUGCUAAAUAGCUAGUACUAUGUUAGUAUGCAUGGCUCCAAAAUUAAAUGCGCAUCGUGAUGCGUGGCUCCAAAAUCUCUGAAUGAACAAUGACAAGCUUAUUCAUUCUUAGUUCAAAAAUCGCCUAGCAAAAUAUUUGAAUUCAAUAUAACAUGGAUUCAAUGUUUUGAACUCGAUAUCAUGGCAUAUGUAAUUCAUAUGAAACGGGGCCAUCACACUCUAUUGUGGGUGAAUUUAUUUGGUAUCUGAGGAAACUUAUAAGAUAAGCCACCGUCCGAGAUUUGUUGCGCGGAACUUCUGCGUGAAGGCAACAUUGUAGUGUGAAUCUUAUACCAUACAAUGGUCUAUGACAUGUUUCACACAACAAUUUCGGACCGUGGCUACAAGCCUAUGUUAUAAGUUAGCACAACAAUGGAUCCCAAAACAUCUUAUUUCUGAGGAAAGCAAAAGUAACAUGGAUGCUAAACCCGAAAGCAAAACCACCUUUUUGGUCCGGGUUUAGGCCGGGCUUCCCAUGCCUAGGUUUAGUUCUUAACAUCCAAGUCAUUAUUUCAAAAUCUAGUCAUUAUAUGUUUAUCAACAUGAUGAUUCUACAGAUCUCGCCGUAAGACUACCCACCGAAAAAGACAGGAAACAAAUGAAGCUCCCACGCCCGCGGGUCUAAAAAAUAUCAUCAUCGGAUAACUACAUGCAGAGCGCCCUUGGCAACCGGGAGACAAAAGAAUAACAGACCUAUCUCCAGUCUGAUGCCACUCGUGUCGAAAGGUUACUAUUGCAAAAUUAGCUAUUGCCUUUUCGAGAGGUGACAAUUCCUACAAGAGGGUGUUGCCCUUUAGUAUAGUACUACUUCAAAAUAGAUACAAUGUCGUCGCCUUUUGGGCUAUCAUUGCCAUAUGUAAAAAGUUCGUUGCGUUUUGGAAUGUCCAGACAACGUCGCCUUUUGAAAUGUUCAAACGGUGUCACCUUUUGUAACGGUAGCAUUUAGAAAUAGCGACAACCCCGUCGCGUUCUGGACUAUCAUUGCUAUAUGGAACAGUAAC